CAGUCUGCAUUGAUGAAGGUGAACGUGCAUAUGUGUUAUCACCUUGAAUUUGCAUCAGGAGCCACGAAACUUCUCCUCCCCUGUAUCCAUGGAGCAAACUGAAACUCAACCGUGGCCUCAGGUCAAGCAAUCACUCUGAGCAAGUGGGCUCAGCAGGAAACGGGCGGCUUUCCUGUGGCCAAAAUGAAAGUCUCCUUCCCUGCCUUUUGUCACUACCCCGUCGUUAGCGAGUGGCACACACUGUGUGGCACCAUCCUCAACAUCCACAUCACCCUGCCUCAGAAGAAAGGAAGAAAGAAAACCCAGUCACCCAUGGCUACUUUCAGGUCUGAGCUACGGGGCUCAGAACUCGCCCACGGUCACCGGGCAGCUUCAAGACUAGAUGAAUUACUAGAUUGCAUCGCUUUGCAGAAAACCCAACUACCUUCGGAAAAACAAAUGACGGU